AUCUGAGAGAGCUGGACCUGAGCUACAAUCAUCCUGGAGACUCAGGAGUGAAGCUGCUGUCAGCAGGACUUAAGGACUCUAACUGGAGACUGGAAACUCUCAGGGUGGACAAUGGUGGACCGCAGUGGUUGAAACCUGGUCUGAGGAAGUAUGUCUGUCAACUGGAACUGGACACAAACACAGU